rnacentral:rRNA from 1 species
CCUAGUAACUGCGAGUGAAGCGGGAAAAGCUCAAAUUUGAAAUCUGGCAGUCUUUUUUUUCUUCUUUGGCUGUCCGAGUUGUAAUCUAGAGAAGUGCUUACCUGCACUGGACCAUGUAUAAGUCUCCUGGAAUGGAGCGUCGCAGAGGGUGAGAAUCCCGUCUUUGACAUGGACUGCCAGUGUGUUGUGGUGUGCUCUCAAAGAGUCGAGUUGUUUGGGAAUGCAGCUCUAAAUGGGUGGUAAACUCCAUCUAAAGCUAAAUAUUGGCGAGAGACCGAUAGUGAACAAGUACCGUGAGGGAAAGAUGAAAAGGACUUUGGAAAGAGAGUUAAACAGUAUGUGAAAUUGUUGAAAGGGAAACGCUUGAAGUCAGUUAUGUUGGCUAGGGAUCAACCUAGCUACUUUUGCUGGGUGAAUUUCCUAGUCUUACAGGCCAACAUCAGUCUUGACUGCUAGAAAAGAGCAGAGGGAAUGUGGCACCUUUGGGUGUGUUAUAGCCCUUUGUCAUAUGUGGCAGUCGGGACUGAGGGAUGCAGCAUGCCGCGAGGCUGGGUUUCUGACCACGUUCAUGCUUAGGAUGUUGGCUUUUAAUGGCUUCAAUCGACCCGUCUUGAAACACGGACCAAGGAGUCUAACAUGCCUGCGAGUGUUUGGGUGGGGAAAACCCUUGUGCACAAUGAAAGUGAAAGUUGAGAUCCCUGUCAUGGGGAGCAUCGACGCCCGGACUUGAGCUUUUAGCGACGGAUCCGCGGUAGAGCAUGCAUGUUGGGACCCGAAAGAUGGUGAACUAUGCCUGAAUAGGGCAAAGCCAGAGGAAACUCUGGUGGAGGCUCGUAGCGAUUCUGACGUGCAAAUCGAUCGUCAAAUUUGGGUAUA